rnacentral:lncRNA from 1 species
CUUAAUCAGAAUCCAAUAAUAAAAUUCAUCUGCACUAAAAUAUUUAUAAAACAAAUAGUCCACUCACUAACUUUGCCACCCUGAUUAGUCCACUCUCCUUGUCGGCUUUACCGACUCGAACACUUCCCUUGUAAAAAUACCUCAUCUUUUACCCCCAAACCAUUUGCUAUUCCUAAUCGAUUGAAUGGUCAAACGACCUAAGACAACACUCCGCCACUAAAACCGUAUACUUUAAACUAUGCAUACUACAACACCCCAAACUGG